AUUGAACGCUGGCGGCAGGCCUAACACAUGCAAGUCGAGCGGCAGCGGAAAGUAGCUUGCUACUUUGCCGGCGAGCGGCGGACGGGUGAGUAAUGUCUGGGAAACUGCCUGAUGGAGGGGGAUAACUACUGGAAACGGUAGCUAAUACCGCAUAACGUCGCAAGACCAAAGAGGGGGACCUUCGGGCCUCUUGCCAUCAGACGUGCCCAGAUGGGAUUAGCUAGUAGGUGGGGUAACGGCUCACCUAGGCGACGAUCCCUAGCUGGUCUGAGAGGAUGACCAGCCACACUGGAACUGAGACACGGUCCAGACUCCUACGGGAGGCAGCAGUGGGGAAUAUUGCACAAUGGGCGCAAGCCUGAUGCAGCCAUGCCGCGUGUAUGAAGAAGGCCUUCGGGUUGUAAAGUACUUUCAGCGGGGAGGAAGGUGUUGAGGUUAAUAACCUCAGCAAUUGACGUUACCCGCAGAAGAAGCACCGGCUAACUCCGUG
rnacentral:rRNA from 1 species